CUUUCUCCCUCGCUUUGAUAUUUGUAUUCUUUGUCCUUUGAGAAUAAACAAUGUAGGAAUUGAUGUACCUUUAUAUUUAUUUUACCCAAUCUAAUGUCUCAUAGGAAGAGCAAUUGUUUCCACCAGCUUGAUAUGUGAUAAUUCCGGAAUUUGCGUUUGAAGUUCACUAGUUUUUUUCUUUUUUCUACAUCGACAGAGAAUUAUACUCUUUAAUCAUAAAGCCCCAUCUUACUGGUCCCCAAUAUCAUGAGUUAUUUUUUUUUUUUUUUUGGGUUAGCUUCUCUCCUGAUGUAUGGAUCAGUGUUUUAAAAGGCGUGGGCGUAAGGCAAGGCGUUUUGCCUCGGCAGGGCAUAAGCCCCAUGGGUAUUUAAUUUUUAAUAUUUUAUAAAUUAAUAAAAUAAAUAUAAAAAAAAAAAAAAUUAAAAUUAUUAAAAAAAAAAAAAUAGAAAAAUGUAUAUAUCUAUUAUUAAUAUGCUAACAUCUGCACGAACCAUUAAAAAAAUAUUGAAAAAGUGAAUGACUUAAAGAUACAUUACACCAAUAACAUGACUACGAUGAAACAUAAUUAGAGGUAUAAAAGUGAUACUCCAUCCUAAUAAUUCAAAGAUAAAAUGACAAUAACUAUAAAGUUAUUGUUUUAAAACCUAAAACUAGAUAACAAAUUUAUACUCAUUCUAAUACAAAUAGCCACAAAUAGAGUCUUCAGAACAUUAUCUAAACUAGAGCGAUACCAAAUGAAAUUCUAAAACUAAAAACUAUUUUGUAAAAGAUAAAUUGAAGAAUGCUAAAAAGAUUUUGAAGAAAAUAAAGCAUAAAGAUGGAAAAUGCAAGCAUGGAAGCAGAGUAAGAAUUGGAGGACAAAACUCUUACUGGGUAUCUUUUACUAUGUAAACAACAAUGAGAAAAGAUUAUGAAAUUAGAAUAAACAAUUAUUAUUAUUUUUUUUUGACUUUUUGAGAUUUCUAGUUUGAGAAUUUACUAUGAAUUAACUUUUGGAUAUUUAAUU